GAUGAACGCUGGCGGCGUGCCUAAUACAUGCAAGUCGAGCGAAUGGAUUAAGAGCUUGCUCUUAUGAAGUUAGCGGCGGACGGGUGAGUAACACGUGGGUAACCUGCCCAUAAGACUGGGAUAACUCCGGGAAACCGGGGCUAAUACCGGAUAAUAUUUUGAACCGCAUGGUUCGAAAUUGAAAGGCGGCUUCGGCUGUCACUUAUGGAUGGACCCGCGUCGCAUUAGCUAGUUGGUGAGGUAACGGCUCACCAAGGCAACGAUGCGUAGCCGACCUGGGAGGGUGAUCGGCCACACUGGGACUGAGACCCGGCCAAGACUCCUACGGGAGGCAGCAGUAGGGAAUCUUCCGCAAUGGACGAAAGUCUGACGGAGCAACGCCGCGUGAGUGGUGAAGGCUUUCGGGUCGUAAAACUCUGUUGUUAGGGAAGAACAAGUGCUAGUUGAAUAAGCUGGCACCUUGACGGUACCUAACCAGAAAGCCACGGCUAACUACGUGCCAGCCGCCGCAGUAA
rnacentral:rRNA from 1 species